CGGGGCUUGUUCUCCGCCCGCCCCGCCUUCCGGCUUGUUACCAUGGUGACAGCUUGCCGCCUCGCAGGGCCCAGGCGCGGGCGCGUCCCGGGCGGGCCCCAUGGAGGUCACGGGCAGCGCCUACUUCGGGGACUGUGUGCACGGCAGGAUUGAAGGGAAAGGCCACUAUACUCUCCCAACUGAAACCAAAUAUAAUGGCACAAUGAAAGAUGGAAUAUUUCAUGGCAAAGGAACCUUGUAUUUUCCUAAUGGAAGCAAAUAUGAAGGAAUCUGGGACUGCGGAAUAUCGAAAGAGGGGAAAUACACUUUUGCAGAUGGUCUUGAAUUCAAAGAUAAAAAAUGGCAUUAUUGUGAUGGCUACGACAGAAGAUUUUAUACAGAAAUCUGUUCUGGUCUAAAACCAGCAGGUAUCUCUCAGCUUACAAAUUUAGAUCCUCCCAGAACGAUUCCAAUAGGCUGUUAUGACUGUGGUGAUGGAUACUAUAAUCCUAAUACCAGAGUUGUCAUUGAUUACAAACUCAGGUUUUUGAGGAAUGCAGGGCUGCAGCCCUAUCGAAGACAAUGAUUAGAAGUCAGUGGGACUGUGAGCGUGAGUGGAGGUUUGCAGACUAGCACCCUGCCAGCUCACUUCCACUUUCUUUUCCACUUGGAUGAUGAUGAACAUGAAUGGAUCAUUUGCACCUGCCGGAAAGGCUGGGAUGAAAUAACUGGAUAUAAACCUAAACACUGAACACAGCUUUAGCUUCUACCCUGAUUUUGGAAAACAUAGUUUGAUUCAUCCUUAAGUCUGAAUGUCUUUGUGGAUUUAGAUCAGUCCCUACCAUUAUGUGAAUGUAGUUUUGUAGCCUUUAUUAGCAUAAUAAAACUGGAACCAUCAUUUAAUUAACUAUGUUCACAUGAAGCCAUGGAAAUAAGCUUACUAUACUUAUCCUAAUAUUCCUGAGAGGUGUGCAGUGUAGUAGGAUCAAUAUAUACACAUUAUUAACAUACAAAACAAUGUACUAAAGGGACUGCCUCAAAUUCAGUGCUGAAGGCAUUCAGCUCCAUCUUAGCAUUAUUUCCCCAGGUCCCAGUUAGCUGUCCUGUUUCUUUAUCCUUCUUUUGCUCACUACUUUGAUAUUGACUGAUCAUUGUAACAACAUACACCAGUUAUUCUUUAAUGACUGGUUUUCUAACGAGGAAAUUAUAUCCAUUUACCAGGAACAUUUGUUGAACUCUCCUUUAACAAAAUAAUAAAAGAGAAAAACUGGGUGGGUUGCUGUUUGAUUAGUAAGCCAGAAAAUAAUUUUAAAAAUCAAAUCAAAUGGAAUUACAUCAUUU